rnacentral:sRNA from 1 species
UAAUACGAUGGGUUUGAAUGGCUCCAGG